AUGUCGGCGGCGGUCGAGGAGCAGAUGGUAGUGAAAGCGAUCCGGGAGGAGUGCCCGUGGGAGUCCCUCCCCAAGCGUCUCCAGUCCACUCUCCACACCAAGGACGAGUGGCACCGCAGGAUUGUCGAUUAUUGCAUCCGAAAACGAUUACAAUGGAAUACCUGCUUUGCCCGUCGAGUUUACAGGGAAGGGGAAUACUAUGAAGAAAUGAUGCGCUAUCUCCGGCGCAAUCUUGCAUUAUACCCAUACCAUCUUGCAGACUAUAUAUGCCGAGUAUUGAGGAUCUCACCAUUCAGAUAUUACUGUGACAUCCUGUUCGAAACUAUGAAGAACGAACAACCAUAUGAUAGUAUUCCAAACUUCACUGCUGCUGAUGCCCGAAGGCUGACUGGUAUUGGAAGAAAUGAAUUUAUUGAUACUAUGAACAAAUGCAGAUCAAAGAAACUAAUGUGGAAGCUGAACAAAUCAAUCGCAAAAGAUUUACUGCCUACACAGCCUGUUGACUUCCCAAUCGAGCCUUGGUGGGGAGUUUGUCUGGUUAACUUUACAUUGGAAGAGUUCAAGAAACUUUCAGAAGAAGAAACAGCAACCAUAGACAAAAUCUGCAAAGAGGAAGCCAAUUCAUAUGUUCUUUUUGAUAUGAAGAUUAUAGAUGACCUCUAUAAAAGAGGGUUAGUGUACUUUGAUGUGCCUGUUUACACUGAUGACCGCUUCAAAGUUUCUAGGCUUGAAGGCUUUGUUUCUAACAAGGAUCAAUCCUAUGAAGACCCAAUCGAAGAGCUACUUUAUGCUGUAUUUGUUGUGUCAAGUGCUAAUGCUACUGUUGCUGAAUUGGCUGCAACUUUACAAGCUGACCUUUAUCAGCUGCAGGCAGCGGCAUCAUUUGCUUGCCGACUGGGCUGGGCUGUAAAACUUGUGGAUGGUGACUCUGUAUUUAAAGACGAAGUUGAACCUCCAUCUCUCAGUAACAUUCUUAGUGAUGAUGAUGAAGGUUCAAAUGCAAGUAUCAACUCAGAAAAGUCCAAUCAACAGUUGCUUAGCAUCGAUACUAAUGGACCCAGGAGAAUAUCUGGGACAGCUCAUGUAGGUUUUGUUGUUGAUGCCAAUGUUACUUCAUACUUGAUGAUGGGUUCAUUGUCCCCAGGUCUAAAAUCUCAUGCUGUCACGCUGUAUGAAGCUGGAAAAUUAGGUGAUUCUUGCAUUGCGGAACUAUGCAGUGAUCUGGCUAGUUUAGAAGGAAAGAAAUUUGAGGGUGUGCUAGAGGAGUUUGCUAAUCAUGCAUUCAGUCUGCGGUGGUCCCUCGAGUGUUUAAAGUCCGGUGGAGUUUCUACCGAUGAUAGUACUGAUAAAGAUGGUGAAACAAAGACUCCAACAAAUUUAUUGCAUGAAAAUGUUACAGCCCAUCUGGCCAAUGCAAACAUGGAGGACAGAGAUGAGGAUGGCCUUGGUGAAGUGCCCCAGGAUAACUGCUCUACUGAUGUUUUAGAUAAUAAAGAUGCGAAUAUAUCAUCAGUGUCAAUGGGUUUACCAGAACGUGGGGAAAACAUGGUUAGAAUUGAGGCUCAGAAUGACUCAACUGGCACCAAUGCGUUGAUGAUAAAAAGGAAGUACACUGUUGAUGUCCUCCGAUGUGAGAGCCUUGCUUCACUUGCUCCAGCAACACUAGAACGGCUAUUUCUCCGUGACUAUGACAUUAUUGUGUCAAUGGUACCUCUUCCUUCUUCAUCAGUUCUUCCUGGUCCUUCAGGCACGAUUCAUUUUGGUCCACCCUCUUAUUGUGCGAUGACACCUUGGAUGAAGCUAGUAUUGUAUACUGCAGGCCAUUCUGGACCACUAUCUGCUGUUUUCUUGAAAGGACAACGCUUCAGAUUGCUUCCUGAACCAUUAGCUGGUUGUGAAAAAGCAUUGAUAUGGUCUUGGGAUGGCUCUAUGGUUGGUGGACUAGGAGGGAAGUUUGAAGGGAAUUUGGUCAAGGGCAAUCUACUCUUACAUUGCUUGAACUCGAUGUUGAAGCAAUCUGCUGUGUUAGUGCAACCGCUUAGAAUAGAUGAUCUUAACGCAUCAGGAAACCUUGUCACAGCGGAUAUCCCUUUACCCCUGAAGAAUGAUGAUCAUUCAAUUGCAUCUGUGGUAGCUCAAGCGAAUUUGCCAAAGGAACAGGUCUUUAAUUUGACCUCAGUACUGAAAGACCUAUCCAGUAAAUUCCAGUUGACCACGCUUGGCUACCUUCGUCUAUUAAGACUUAACAAUCUUGUUGAAUCAGAUAAGUUUCACCCAGAAAAUGCAAGUUACCAGUGGGUGCCCUUGAGUUUGGAGUUUGGAAUUCCCUUGUUCAAUCCAAACUUAUGUGAGAAGAUUUGUGAAAGGGUGGUUGCGUCUCGUAUACUUCAGAAAGAUGAUCUCACUGAACAUUAUGAUGUGAUGCAAAAUGUAAGGAGGCGUCUCAGAGAACUUUGUAGUGAAUAUCAAGCAACUGGACCAGUAGCUAAGUUAUAUAACAAGAGGGGAAGCUCGAGGGAUCUACCUCGCACUUUAAUCAAUAGUAUUAGUAGCAGAUGGGAUCCAACAAAUGAUCCUUCAGCACCAACCAACACAAGAACCCCAAGUGAACACGAGAGGCUAAAACUUGCUGUCCGACAGAGAUGCGGCACAGAAGUUGUGGGCUUUGAUGGGAGGACUGUCAGGUCAUAUUCACUCUCUCCGGAGCAGGACGAGGUUACCACCAAACACAUCUCUGACGAACAGUCAUCCACCCAUGAAGGAAAGCCAGAUCAAGAAGAUGCACACAGCAAGGAUGUAACCUUGCCAGGACUAAACCUUAUCUUUGACGGAGUUGAAUUACACCCCUUCGAUAUUGGUGCUUGUCUUCAAGCACGCCAACCUCUCUGGUUGAUAGCUGAGGCAUCAACAGUUUCAUCAACCCUCAUAUGA
rnacentral:rRNA from 1 species